UCCCCUCUCUAUCCAGCCCUGGAAUCUAAUCUAUCUAUCUUUUAUCUAAUCCUUUUCCAGCGGUAUUAGGGGUCCCCACCAAUGCAGCCGCCACUAGACUGCUAGUCUAGUCUAGUAGCCGGUAUCUGGGGUCUGAGGCCUCAUUUUCCACCUGCUUUCUAUCCCAGCCCUGGAGUAUUUCUCUAUUUCUCUUUUUUCUACCUUUUUUCCCUUCCUCCAGCGGUAUUGCAGGACUUUCACUCACACAACACAUAUACCAUUUCUUUAUUAUAAUUAUAAAAAGUACAUUCUACAAUCUAUACUUCUCUUACCUCUUCUCACUCACUCCAGGUUCUUUUGGAGACCCACUUAGUCUUUCUUCCCACCCCGGGGCUUCUCCAUCGUAACAACAGACCACUAAAACAGAGCUUUGAAAUAACAGGCGUCUGCAAUGCCUUUUCCUAUACGGCCUGUCUGUUGCUUAGAGAGCGAAGUCCCACGGGAGAGAUUCCAGACAUAUAGAUCUUAGCCCAGUCCCAUCUGGGGUGCCAAAUGUUGGCUCGAAUUUAGCCUAUUACCCAAAAACUUUUAAAACUCAACUUAGAAGCCAAUACUCACAUCUACCUCUGAGCCCAGUUGGAGAUAGAAAAAACACACCAGCCGUGAGUGAGAAGAAGCAAGGGUCCAGCUUUAUUGUUCCAUUCCACCACACGAGAUCCACACCGAUGAGAAUUCUCAAAAGUGAUCCCCAAUACCCUGAGCUUAAGCUCCAGUAUUUAUACUGUAUUUACACACUAGAUAACCCAUAGGUUUCCAGAAAAGGCCUAUUUCACUUACCCAUAGAAUUGAAACCAGGGGUUUUACUUUACACAUAAAAUCAGAACCCAGGCAUUUCCAACAACCCAGGAAACAAAAACCCAGUGUUUCUAUUUACCUAGGUUUUCAAAAACCAGGAUUCUCUUUUACCUAGGUUUUCAAAAACCAGGAUUCUCUUUUACCUAGGUUUUCAAAAACCAAGAUUCCCAUUUCCCUAGGUUUUCAAAAACCAAGAUUCUCAUUUCCCUAGGUUAAAAAAAUGACGUAAGCAAGACGGGGAGGGACAACCGGGAGGGACCUUGGUCUUAUCGUUAUCUCGAGGGGGGGGGCAGCCACCCUUAUAACUGGCUUUCUUCAUGGUUCUCUAAAAAUUAAGGCUUUCCUUGCGAGACGAGAAUCUUCACCAUCUGAAUCAUGAGUGCCGGUGCCCGUCGUCAGUCCCCUCUCUCUCCGUUACUGGACCUGGAUCAGGGUUUGGACCUGGAUCUGGACACUCAUUACCAGCUUGUGCAUCUCACUGCUGAUAUCAUGAUGCUACUUAACUAUCUUCGCAGCACCCCCCCAAGAAUGGAGAUCCGGGGUUCCCCCCUCUUCUUCGGUACAGAAUCUGCCCCACGAACGUGCGUGUUGACGCUUCUACACAGUCAGACCCAGAACCCCCCUCCAGCUUCCAAUCCGAGGAUGAUGAUGUUGUCUUCUCCGAUCCGGGCCCCGACCAUCCGUCCCUCUUCUCACCCACCAGUCCGCCCGACUCUCAGUGG